rnacentral:rRNA from 1 species
UACGGAGGGGGCUAGCGUUGUUCGGAAUUACUGGGCGUAAAGCGCACGUAGGCGGCUUGGUAAGUUAGAGGUGAAAGCCUGGGGCUCAACUCCAGAAUUGCCUUUAAGACUGCCGAGCUAGCAGGUGAGAGAGGUGAGUGGAAUUCCGAGUGUAGAGGUGAAAUUCGUAGAUAUUCGGAAGAACACCAGUGGCGAAGGCGGCUCACUGGCUCAUACUGGACGCUGAGGUGCGAAAGCGUGGGGAGCAAACAGG